rnacentral:rRNA from 1 species
UACGUAGGGGGCAAGCGUUGUCCGGAAUCAUUGGGCGGAAAGAGCGUGUAGGCGGCUCGGUAAGUCCGCUCUGAAAGCCCGGGGCUCAACCCCGGGAGGCGGGCGGAUACUGUCGGGCUAGAGUCCGGAAGAGGCGAGUGGAAUUCCUGGUGUAGCGGUGAAAUGCGCAGAUAUCAGGAAGAACACCCGUGGCGAAGGCGGCUCUCUGGGACGGUACUGACGCUGAGACGCGAAAGCGUGGGGAGCGAACAGG